ACUCGGUUCGGCAGUAUGUACUAAAAUUGGAACUAUACAGAGAAGGUUAGCAUGGCCCCUGCGUAAGGAUGACAAAAACAGCGGUAAAGCGUGCGGCAAGACU